rnacentral:rRNA from 1 species
UUAAGCGACUAAGCGUACACGGUGGAUGCCCUGGCAGUCAGAGGCGAUGAAGGACGUGCUAAUCUGCGAUAAGCGUCGGUAAGGUGAUAUGAACCGUUAUAACCGGCGAUUUCCGAAUGGGGAAACCCAGUGUGAUUCGUCACACUAUCAUUAACUGAAUCCAUAGGUUAAUGAGGCGAACCGGGGGAACUGAAACAUCUAAGUACCCCGAGGAAAAGAAAUCAACCGAGAUUCCCCCAGUAGCGGCGAGCGAACGGGGAGCAGCCCAGAGCCUGAAUCAGUGUGUGUGUUAGUGGAAGCGUCUGGAAAGGCGUGCGAUACAGGGUGACAGCCCCGUACACAAAAAUGCACAUACUGUGAGCUCGAUGAGUAGGGCGGGACACGUGGUAUCCUGUCUGAAUAUGGGGGGACCAUCCUCCAAGGCUAAAUACUCCUGACUGACCGAUAGUGAACCAGUACCGUGAGGGAAAGGCGAAAAGAACCCCGGCGAGGGGAGUGAAAAAGAACGUGAAACCGUGUACGUACAAGCAGUGGGAGCACGCUUAGGCGUGUGACUGCGUACCUUUUGUAUAAUGGGUCAGCGACUUAUAUUCUGUAGCAAGGUUAACCGAAUAGGGGAGCCGAAGGGAAACCGAGUCUUAACUGGGCGUUAAGUUGCAGGGUAUAGACCCGAAACCCGGUGAUCUAGCCAUGGGCAGGUUGAAGGUUGGGUAACACUAACUGGAGGACCGAACCGACUAAUGUUGAAAAAUUAGCGGAUGACUUGUGGCUGGGGGUGAAAGGCCAAUCAAACCGGGAGAUAGCUGGUUCUCCCCGAAAGCUAUUUAGGUAGCGCCUCGUGAAUUCAUCUCCGGGGGUAGAGCACUGUUUCGGCAAGGGGGUCAUCCCGACUUACCAACCCGAUGCAAACUGCGAAUACCGGAGAAUGUUAUCACGGGAGACACACGGCGGGUGCUAACGUCCGUCGUGAAGAGGGAAACAACCCAGACCGCCAGCUAAGGUCCCAAAGUCAUGGUUAAGUGGGAAACGAUGUGGGAAGGCCCAGACAGCCAGGAUGUUGGCUUAGAAGCAGCCAUCAUUUAAAGAAAGCGUAAUAGCUCACUGGUCGAGUCGGCCUGCGCGGAAGAUGUAACGGGGCUAAACCAUGCACCGAAGCUGCGGCAGCGACGCUUAUGCGUUGUUGGGUAGGGGAGCGUUCUGUAAGCCUGUGAAGGUGUGCUGUGAGGUAUGCUGGAGGUAUCAGAAGUGCGAAUGCUGACAUAAGUAACGAUAAAGCGGGUGAAAAGCCCGCUCGCCGGAAGACCAAGGGUUCCUGUCCAACGUUAAUCGGGGCAGGGUGAGUCGACCCCUAAGGCGAGGCCGAAAGGCGUAGUCGAUGGGAAACAGGUUAAUAUUCCUGUACUUGGUGUUACUGCGAAGGGGGGACGGAGAAGGCUAUGUUGGCCGGGCGACGGUUGUCCCGGUUUAAGCGUGUAGGCUGGUUUUCCAGGCAAAUCCGGAAGAUCAAGGCCGAGGCGUGAUGACGAGGCACUACGGUGCUGAAGCAACAAAUGCCCUGCUUCCAGGAAAAGCCUCUAAGCAUCAGGUAACAUCAAAUCGUACCCCAAACCGACACAGGUGGUCAGGUAGAGAAUACCAAGGCGCUUGAGAGAACUCGGGUGAAGGAACUAGGCAAAAUGGUGCCGUAACUUCGGGAGAAGGCACGCUGAUACGUAGGUGAAGCGACUUGCUCGUGGAGCUGAAAUCAGUCGAAGAUACCAGCUGGCUGCAACUGUUUAUUAAAAACACAGCACUGUGCAAACACGAAAGUGGACGUAUACGGUGUGACGCCUGCCCGGUGCCGGAAGGUUAAUUGAUGGGGUUAGCGCAAGCGAAGCUCUUGAUCGAAGCCCCGGUAAACGGCGGCCGUAACUAUAACGGUCCUAAGGUAGCGAAAUUCCUUGUCGGGUAAGUUCCGACCUGCACGAAUGGCGUAAUGAUGGCCAGGCUGUCUCCACCCGAGACUCAGUGAAAUUGAACUCGCUGUGAAGAUGCAGUGUACCCGCGGCAAGACGGAAAGACCCCGUGAACCUUUACUAUAGCUUGACACUGAACAUUGAGCCUUGAUGUGUAGGAUAGGUGGGAGGCUUUGAAGUGUGGACGCCAGUCUGCAUGGAGCCGACCUUGAAAUACCACCCUUUAAUGUUUGAUGUUCUAACGUGGACCCGUGAUCCGGGUUGCGGACAGUGUCUGGUGGGUAGUUUGACUGGGGCGGUCUCCUCCUAAAGAGUAACGGAGGAGCACGAAGGUUGGCUAAUCCUGGUCGGACAUCAGGAGGUUAGUGCAAUGGCAUAAGCCAGCUUGACUGCGAGCGUGACGGCGCGAGCAGGUGCGAAAGCAGGUCAUAGUGAUCCGGUGGUUCUGAAUGGAAGGGCCAUCGCUCAACGGAUAAAAGGUACUCCGGGGAUAACAGGCUGAUACCGCCCAAGAGUUCAUAUCGACGGCGGUGUUUGGCACCUCGAUGUCGGCUCAUCACAUCCUGGGGCUGAAGUAGGUCCCAAGGGUAUGGCUGUUCGCCAUUUAAAGUGGUACGCGAGCUGGGUUUAGAACGUCGUGAGACAGUUCGGUCCCUAUCUGCCGUGGGCGCUGGAGAACUGAGGGGGGCUGCUCCUAGUACGAGAGGACCGGAGUGGACGCAUCACUGGUGUUCGGGUUGUCAUGCCAAUGGCACUGCCCGGUAGCUAAAUGCGGAAGAGAUAAGUGCUGAAAGCAUCUAAGCACGAAACUUGCCCCGAGAUGAGUUCUCCCUGACCCUUUAAGGGUCCUGAAGGAACGUUGAAGACGACGACGUUGAUAGGCCGGGUGUGUAAGCGCAGCGAUGCGUUGAGCUAACCGGUACUAAUGAACCGUGAGGCUUAACCUU